GACGAACGCUGGCGGCGCGCCUAACACAUGCAAGUCGAACGGAGCUUAGAGAGCUUGCUUUUUAAGCUUAGUGGCGAACGGGUGAGUAACGCGUGAGUAACCUGCCCUAGAGUGGGGGACAACAGUUGGAAACGACUGCUAAUACCGCAUAAGCCCACGGUGCCGCAUGGUACUGAGGGAAAAGGAUUUAUUCGCUUUAGGAUGGACUCGCGUCCAAUUAGCUAGUUGGUGAGGUAACGGCCCACCAAGGCGACGAUUGGUAGCCGGACUGAGAGGUUGAACGGCCACAUUGGGACUGAGACACGGCCCAGACUCCUACGGGAGGCAGCAGUGGGGGAUAUUGCACAAUGGGGGAAACCCUGAUGCAGCGACGCCGCGUGGAGGAAGAAGGUUUUCGGAUUGUAAACUCCUGUCGUUAGGGACGAUAAUGACGGUACCUAACAAGAAAGCACCGGCUAACUACGUGCCAGCAGCCGCAGUAA
rnacentral:rRNA from 1 species